rnacentral:rRNA from 1 species
UACGUAGGGGGCAAGCGUUGUCCGGAAUCAUUGGGCGUAAAGAGCGUGUAGGCGGCCCGGUAAGUCCGCUGUGAAAGUCCAGGGCUCAACCCUGGGAUGCCGGUGGAUACUGUCGGGCUCGAGUCCGGAAGAGGAGUGUGGAAUUCCUGGUGUAGCGGUGGAAUGCGCAGAUAUCAGGAGGAACACCAAUAGCGAAGGCAGCUCGCUGGGACGUUACUGACACUGAGGCGCGAAAGCGUGGGGAGCGAACAGG